UUUGAAGAGAGAGUUCAACAGUACGUGAAACUGCUUAGAGGGAAACGGAUGGGCCCUCGAAAUCCUGUGUCGUGGAGGAUUCAGUCGAAAGUUGCUCGUUUAGAUACGGUUACGCUUUAAUAAAUACUGUCUUUCCGUUUGAGAGAGACGAGGCGUUCGACCGAUCUGGAUGAGACAUGCCGCCGACGCAUUUCCUACCCGACCAAAGGACGUCGCAACCGAUUGAGGAACGGCUUGAAAAGUAGUCGAUGGCAGGUGCCCGCACGAGCCCUUUUUGAAGGAUCGUUAGUGGCGUAUAUAGCCGGUACUGCUCUAUGGCUCGUAACUCGAUCGACGGACUCUGAUAAGACCACCCUCCUCUGUAAAAUGAUUCACGGACGUAGAGGGCGUCAGGGAUUAGCGAAUGUCUUUGACGAGCACACGGAACCGACACCGUGGCUCGUUGGACGUCCUACCCGUUGGAUGCCGACGAAUUCCGUUUGGAGGUUCGGUGGUUAGCGACGAGUAGAUCGGUCACCCAUCCGACCC
rnacentral:rRNA from 1 species